rnacentral:rRNA from 1 species
UGGGGAAUAUUGGACAAUGGGCGAAAGCCUGAUCCAGCCAUGCCGCGUGUGUGAAGAAGGUCUUCGGAUUGUAAAGCACUUUAAGUUGGGAGGAAGGGCAGUUACCUAAUACGUGAUUGUUUUGACGUUACCGACAGAAUAAGCACCGGCUAACUCUGUGCCAGCAGCCGCGGUAAUACAGAGGGUGCAAGCGUUAAUCGGAAUUACUGGGCGUAAAGCGCGCGUAGGUGGUUAGUUAAGUUGGAUGUGAAAUCCCCGGGCUCAACCUGGGAACUGCAUUCAAAACUGACUGACUAGAGUAUGAUAGAGGGUGGUGGAAUUUCCUGUGUAGCGGUGAAAUGCGUAGAUAUAGGAAGGAACACCAGUGGCGAAGGCGACCACCUGGACUGAUACUGACACUGAGGUGCGAAAGCGUGGGGAGCAAACAGGAUUAGAUACCCAAGUAGUCCCUGAGCGGGCUGGCAAGGCGCAU